CUUGUCCUCCUUCUGCCCGAAAAUACGUGUCGGAGAAAUGGAUACAAAUGGAUGUAUCUAGAGCUAAAAUAUGUCUAGAUACAUCCAUGCCUUCCACAAGAAUUUCGGACGGAGGGAGUAAUAA
rfam:Triticum aestivum genome assembly, contig: Triticum_aestivum_CS42_TGACv1_scaffold_641748_T_5AL-0.151756_5AS-0.151234